rnacentral:rRNA from 1 species
UACGGGGGGGUGCGAGCGUUGUCCGGAAUCACUGGGCGUAAAGGGCGCGUAGGUGGUUUGAUAAGGGUGUGGUGAAAGUCCGGAGCUCAACUCCGGAUCUGCCGUGCCGACUGUCAAACUCGAGGGCUGUAGAGGCAGACGGAAUUCCGGGUGUAGCGGUGGAAUGCGUAGAGAUCCGGAGGAAGACCGGUGGCGAAGGCGGCUCACUGGCCCGGUACUGACGCGUGAGGUGCGAAAGCGUGGGGAGCAAACAGG